ensembl:snRNA U1 U1 spliceosomal RNA
AUAUUUACCUGACAGGUGAAAGUCUAUAAUUAUAAAGGUGUAUUUCCCAGGGCAAGGCUUAACUCACUGUACUCCGGGUGUGCUGACCCUGAGAUUUCUCCAAAUGUGGGCAACUCGACUGCAGAAUUUAUGGUAGUAGGGGACUGUACAUGUACUCUCCCUUA